UACGUAGGGUGCGAGCGUUAAUCGGAAUUACUGGGCGUAAAGCGUGCGCAGGCGGUUACGUAAGACAGGUGUGAAAUCCCCGGGCUUAACCUGGGAACUGCAUUUGUGACUGCAUAGCUAGAGUACGGUGGAGGGGGAUGGAAUUCCGCGUGUAGCAGUGAAAUGCGUAGAUAUGCGGAGGAACACCGAUGGCGAAGGCAAUCCCCUGGACCUGUACUGACGCUCAUGCACGAAAGCGUGGGGAGCAAACAGG
rnacentral:rRNA from 1 species